AUACGGAAGGUCCGGGCGUUAUCCGGAUUUAUUGGGUUUAAAGGGAGCGCAGGCGGAGAUGCAAGCGUGACGUCAAAUUUCGGGGCUCAACCCCGUCUCGCGUCGCGAACUGCGUCCCUUGGUUGCGGGAAGGGGAGGCGGAACUCGGGGUGUAGCGGUGAAAUGCAUAGAUAUCACGAAGAACUCCGAUCGCGAAGGCAGCCUUCCGGCCCGUCAACGACGCUCAUGCUCGAAGGUGCGGGUAUCAAACAGGAUUAGAUACCCUGGUAGUCCGCACAGUAAACGAUGGACACCCGCGGUUUGGCCUAUAUGGCUGAGCCGCCAAGCGAAAGCGUUAAGUGUCCCACCUGGGGAGUACGCCGGCAACGGUGAAACUCAAAUGAAUUGACGGGG
rnacentral:rRNA from 1 species